AGUGCCCGCUUCAGCAUCACACACUAAAACUGGAACAAUACAGCGAAGGCUGGCAUGGCCCCUUCGCAAAGAUAUCGCGCAAAUUCAUGAAAUGUUCCGUAUUUUU